rnacentral:rRNA from 1 species
GUACACGGUGGAUGCCCUGGCAGUCAGAGGCGAUGAAGGACGUGCUAAUCUGCGAUAAGCGUCGGUGAGGUGAUAUGAACCGUUAUAACCGGCGAUUUCCGAAUGGGGAAACCCAGUGUGUUUCGACACACUAUCAUUAACUGAAUCCAUAGGUUAAUGAGGCGAACCGGGGGAACUGAAACAUCUAAGUACCCCGAGGAAAAGAAAUCAACCGAGAUUCCCCCAGUAGCGGCGAGCGAACGGGGAGGAGCCCAGAGCCUGAAUCAGUGUGUGUGUUAGUGGAAGCGUCUGGAAAGGCGCGCGAUACAGGGUGACAGCCCCGUACACAAAAAUGCACAUAUUGUGAGCUCGAUGAGUAGGGCGGGACACGUGGUAUCCUGUCUGAAUAUGGGGGGACCAUCCUCCAAGGCUAAAUACUCCUGACUGACCGAUAGUGAACCAGUACCGUGAGGGAAAGGCGAAAAGAACCCCGGCGAGGGGAGUGAAAAAGAACCUGAAACCGUGUACGUACAAGCAGUGGGAGCCUCUUAAUGGGGUGACUGCGUACCUUUUGUAUAAUGGGUCAGCGACUUAUAUUCUGUAGCAAGGUUAACCGAAUAGGGGAGCCGAAGGGAAACCGAGUCUUAACUGGGCGUUAAGUUGCAGGGUAUAGACCCGAAACCCGGUGAUCUAGCCAUGGGCAGGUUGAAGGUUGGGUAACACUAACUGGAGGACCGAACCGACUAAUGUUGAAAAAUUAGCGGAUGACUUGUGGCUGGGGGUGAAAGGCCAAUCAAACCGGGAGAUAGCUGGUUCUCCCCGAAAGCUAUUUAGGUAGCGCCUCGUGAAUUCAUCUCCGGGGGUAGAGCACUGUUUCGGCAAGGGGGUCAUCCCGACUUACCAACCCGAUGCAAACUGCGAAUACCGGAGAAUGUUAUCACGGGAGACACACGGCGGGUGCUAACGUCCGUCGUGAAGAGGGAAACAACCCAGACCGCCAGCUAAGGUCCCAAAGUCAUGGUUAAGUGGGAAACGAUGUGGGAAGGCCCAGACAGCCAGGAUGUUGGCUUAGAAGCAGCCAUCAUUUAAAGAAAGCGUAAUAGCUCACUGGUCGAGUCGGCCUGCGCGGAAGAUGUAACGGGGCUAAACCAUGCACCGAAGCUGCGGCAGCGACACUAUGUGUUGUUGGGUAGGGGAGCGUUCUGUAAGCCUGUGAAGGUGGCCUGUGAGGGUUGCUGGAGGUAUCAGAAGUGCGAAUGCUGACAUAAGUAACGAUAAAGCGGGUGAAAAGCCCGCUCGCCGGAAGACCAAGGGUUCCUGUCCAACGUUAAUCGGGGCAGGGUGAGUCGACCCCUAAGGCGAGGCCGAAAGGCGUAGUCGAUGGGAAACAGGUUAAUAUUCCUGUACUUGGUGUUACUGCGAAGGGGGGACGGAGAAGGCUAUGUUGGCCGGGCGACGGUUGUCCCGGUUUAAGCGUGUAGGCUGGUUUUCCAGGCAAAUCCGGAAAAUCAAGGCUGAGGCGUGAUGACGAGGCACUACGGUGCUGAAGCGACAAAUGCCCUGCUUCCAGGAAAAGCCUCUAAGCAUCAGGUAACAUCAAAUCGUACCCCAAACCGACACAGGUGGUCAGGUAGAGAAUACCAAGGCGCUUGAGAGAACUCGGGUGAAGGAACUAGGCAAAAUGGUGCCGUAACUUCGGGAGAAGGCACGCUGAUAUGUAGGUGAAGCGACUUGCUCGUGGAGCUGAAAUCAGUCGAAGAUACCAGCUGGCUGCAACUGUUUAUUAAAAACACAGCACUGUGCAAACACGAAAGUGGACGUAUACGGUGUGACGCCUGCCCGGUGCCGGAAGGUUAAUUGAUGGGGUUAGCGGUAACGCGAAGCUCUUGAUCGAAGCCCCGGUAAACGGCGGCCGUAACUAUAACGGUCCUAAGGUAGCGAAAUUCCUUGUCGGGUAAGUUCCGACCUGCACGAAUGGCGUAAUGAUGGCCAGGCUGUCUCCACCCGAGACUCAGUGAAAUUGAACUCGCUGUGAAGAUGCAGUGUACCCGCGGCAAGACGGAAAGACCCCGUGAACCUUUACUAUAGCUUGACACUGAACAUUGAGCCUUGAUGUGUAGGAUAGGUGGGAGGCUUUGAAGUGUGGACGCCAGUCUGCAUGGAGCCGACCUUGAAAUACCACCCUUUAAUGUUUGAUGUUCUAACGUGGGCCCCUUACCGGGGUUGCGGACAGUGUCUGGUGGGUAGUUUGACUGGGGCGGUCUCCUCCUAAAGAGUAACGGAGGAGCACGAAGGUUGGCUAAUCCUGGUCGGACAUCAGGAGGUUAGUGCAAUGGCAUAAGCCAGCUUGACUGCGAGCGUGACGGCGCGAGCAGGUGCGAAAGCAGGUCAUAGUGAUCCGGUGGUUCUGAAUGGAAGGGCCAUCGCUCAACGGAUAAAAGGUACUCCGGGGAUAACAGGCUGAUACCGCCCAAGAGUUCAUAUCGACGGCGGUGUUUGGCACCUCGAUGUCGGCUCAUCACAUCCUGGGGCUGAAGUAGGUCCCAAGGGUAUGGCUGUUCGCCAUUUAAAGUGGUACGCGAGCUGGGUUUAGAACGUCGUGAGACAGUUCGGUCCCUAUCUGCCGUGGGCGCUGGAGAACUGAGGGGGGCUGCUCCUAGUACGAGAGGACCGGAGUGGACGCAUCACUGGUGUUCGGGUUGUCAUGCCAAUGGCACUGCCCGGUAGCUAAAUGCGGAAGAGAUAAGUGCUGAAAGCAUCUAAGCACGAAACUUGCCCCGAGAUGAGUUCUCCCUGACUCCUUGAGAGUCCUGAAGGAACGUUGAAGACGACGACGUUGAUAGGCCGGGUGUGUAAGCGCAGCGAUGCGUUGAGCUAACCGGUACUAAUGAACCGUGAGGCUUAACCUU